GUCCACGCUGUAAACGAUGGGCACUAGGUGUUCGGGGUAUUGACCCCCUGAGUGCCGCAGCUAACGCAUUAAGUGCCCCGCCUGGGGACUACGGCCGCAAGGUUAAAACUCAAAGGAAUUGACGGGGGCCCGCACAAGCGGUGGAGCAUGUUGUUCAAUUCGACGCAACGCGAAGAACCUUACCUGGGCUAGACAACAUCGGACAGCUUUAGAAAUAAGGUCUUCCCGCAAGGGACCGGUGGUUCAGGUGCUGCAUGGCUGUCGU
rnacentral:rRNA from 1 species